rnacentral:rRNA from 1 species
UACGUAGGGUGCGAGCGUUGUCCGGAAUUAUUGGGCGUAAAGCGCGUGUAGGCGGUCCAACAAGUCUGGCGUGAAAGCCUUGAGCUCAACUCAAGAAGUGCGCUGGAAACUGUCGGACUUGAGUACUGGAGGGGGAGGUGGAAUUCUCGAGUGUAGAGGUGAAAUUCGUAGAUAUUCGGAAGAACAUCAGUGGCGAAGGCGACCUC